CGUUCGAUAGCUCAGUGGCAGAGCACCUGGUCAACACCCAGGGUGCCGGGCUCUCGGAACUCCCUCGAAGGACCA
rnacentral:tRNA from 1 species